GUAGGUGGCAAGCGUUGUCCGGAAUUAUUGGGGCGUAAAGCGCGCGCAGGUGGUUCUUUAAGUCUGAUGUGAAAGCCCCCCGGGCUCAACCGGGGGAGGGUCAUUGGAAACUGGGGAACUUGAGUGCAGGAGAGGAAAGUGGAAUUCCACGUGUAGCGGUGAAAUGCGUAGAUAUGUGGAGGAACACCAGUGGCGAAGGCGACUUUCUGGCCUGUAACUGACACUGAGGCGCGAAAGCGUGGGGAGCAAACAGGAUUAGAUACCCUGGCAGUCCACGCCGUAAACGAUGAGUGCUAAGUGUUGGGGGGUUUCCGCCCCUCAGUGCUGCAGCUAACGCAUUAAGCACUCCGCCUGGGGAGUACGGUCGCAAAGACUG
rnacentral:rRNA from 1 species